rnacentral:rRNA from 1 species
UACGGAGGGUGCAAACGUUGCUCGGAAUCAUUGGGCGUAAAGCGCACGUAGGCGGCCUGUUAAGUCGGAUGUGAAAGCCCCGGGCUCAACCCGGGAAGUGCAUACGAAACUGGCGGGCUUGAAUAUGGAAGAGGGUCGCGGAAUUCCGGUGUAGAGGUGAAAUUCGUAGAUAUCGGGAGGAACACCAGUGGCGAAGGCGGCGACCUGGGCCAAUAUUGACGCUGAGGUGCGAAAGCGUGGGGAGCAAAC